ACGGUGAUGAUCAUUGGUCGAGAAUACUCCUGAAGCAGUCUCAUGAGGAUUGCCGAGACGGCGAAGUGAUUGUCGUAGAGAAAAAGAAAAAUUUGGCAGGUGAUCUGAUAUUGCACUAUUUAAAAAAAUAGUGUAACUAUUCGAACACAUGUUGUACUAUUUAGUAAAAAAGUUUCGGUAUUUGAUACAUAUAUUAAACUAUAAAUAGUACAAGAUUCUUAUUAAAUAGUGCAAUACAUAUUUGAAUAAUAUAACUUUUUAAUAAAUAGUGUAAUAUCCGUCAUCCAUCAUAUUUUUUCCUUGCACUACU
rnacentral:lncRNA from 1 species